GGAUGCGAUCAUACCAGCACUAAAGCAGGGGAUCCCAUCAGAACUCCAAAGUUAAGCGUGCUUCGGCGAGAGUAGUACUAGGAUGGGUGACCUCCUGGGAAGUCCUCGUGUUGCAUUCC
rnacentral:rRNA from 1 species